UACAGAGGUCUCAACCGUUGUUCGGAUUCAUUGGGCGUAAAGGGUGCGUAGGCGGUCGCGCAAGUCGGAUGUGAAAUCUCAGGGCUCAACCCUGAAACUGCAUUCGAUACUGCGUGGCUAGAGUGCUGGAGAGGAGACUGGAAUUUACGGUGUAGCAGUGAAAUGCGUAGAUAUCGUAAGGAAGACCAGUGGCGAAGGCGAGUCUCUGGACAGCAACUGACGCUGAGACGCGAAAGCGUGGGUAGCAAACGGG
rnacentral:rRNA from 1 species